UGCUGUGAGCUCGAUGAGUAGGGCGGGACACGUGGUAUCCUGUCUGAAUAUGGGGGGACCAUCCUCCAAGGCUAAAUACUCCUGACUGACCGAUAGUGAACCAGUACCGUGAGGGAAAGGCGAAAAGAACCCCGGCGAGGGGAGUGAAAAAGAACCUGAAACCGUGUACGUACAAGCAGUGGGAGCACAGAGCAAUCUGUGUGACUGCGUACCUUUUGUAUAAUGGGUCAGCGACUUAUAUUCUGUAGCAAGGUUAACCGAAUAGGGGAGCCGAAGGGAAACCGAGUCUUAACUGGGCGUUAAGUUGCAGGGUAUAGACCCGAAACCCGGUGAUCUAGCCAUGGGCAGGUUGAAGGUUGGGUAACACUAACUGGAGGACCGAACCGACUAAUGUUGAAAAAUUAGCGGAUGACUUGUGGCUGGGGGUGAAAGGCCAAUCAAACCGGGAGAUAGCUGGUUCUCCCCGAAAGCUAUUUAGGUAGCGCCUCGUGAAUUCAUCUCCGGGGGUAGAGCACUGUUUCGGCAAGGGGGUCAUCCCGACUUACCAACCCGAUGCAAACUGCGAAUACCGGAGAAUGUUAUCACGGGAGACACACGGCGGGUGCUAACGUCCGUCGUGAAGAGGGAAACAACCCAGACCGCCAGCUAAGGUCCCAAAGUCAUGGUUAAGUGGGAAACGAUGUGGGAAGGCCCAGACAGCCAGGAUGUUGGCUUAGAAGCAGCCAUCAUUUAAAGAAAGCGUAAUAGCUCACUGGUCGAGUCGGCCUGCGCGGAAGAUGUAACGGGGCUAAACCAUGCAC
rnacentral:rRNA from 1 species